UACGUAGGGGGCUAGCGUUGUCCGGAUUUAUUGGGCGUAAAGAGCGUGUAGGCGGCUCGGUAAGUCCGCUGUAAAAGUCAAAGGCUCAACCUUUGAAUGUCAGUGGAUACUGCCGGGCUAGAGUCCGGAAGAGGCGAGUGGAACUCCUGGUGUAGCGGUGGAAUGCGCAGAUAUCAGGAAGAACACCAACGGCGAAGGCAGCUCGCUGGGACGGUACUGACGCUGAGACGCGAAAGCGUGGGGAGCGAACAGG
rnacentral:rRNA from 1 species